UGGCGUAAACAAAGGGAAAGCGGACCGGUGACGGCGAGCAAAUCCCAGAAAUAACGUCCCAGUUCGGAUUGUAGUCUGCAACCCGACUACAUGAAGCUGGAAUCGCUAGUAAUCGCAGGUCAGCAUACUGCGGUGAAUACGUUCCCGGGUCUUGUACACACCGCCCGUCACACCAUGGGAGCCGGAAAUGCCCGAAGCCAGUGACCCAACCUUAGGGAGGGAGCUGUCGAAGGUGGAGCCGGUAACUGGGGUGAAGUCGUAACAAGGUAAC
rnacentral:rRNA from 1 species